rnacentral:tRNA from 2 species
GGAAGGGUGGCUGAGCGGUUGAAAGCACAGGUUUCGAAAACCUGCAGAGGAGCAAUCCUCUCGUGAGUUCAAAUCUCACCCCUUCCGCCA